GUUGUUGUAGCUCAGUGGUAGAGUGCAUGCUUUAUAUAGAUGAUGGCCUGGGUUCAAUCCCCAGGUCGCCG
rnacentral:tRNA from 1 species